GGGGGCGCCGCUAGCGAUCCCUCCUAUCCGUCGAGCGGACAGAUGGGUGCUUGCUCCCUGAUGUUAGCGGCGGACGGGUGAGUAACACGUGGGUAACCUGCCUGUAAGACUGGGAUAACUCCGGGAAACCGGGGCUAAUACCGGAUGCUUGUUUGAACCGCAUGGUUCAGACAUAAAAGGUGGCUUCGGCUACCACUUACAGAUGGACCCGCGGCGCAUUAGCUAGUUGGUGAGGUAACGGCUCACCAAGGCGACGAUGCGUAGCCGACCUGAGAGGGUGAUCGGCCACACUGGGACUGAGACACGGCCCAGACUCCUACGGGAGGCAGCAGUAGGGAAUCUUCCGCAAUGGACGAAAGUCUGACGGAGCAACGCCGCGUGAGUGAUGAAGGUUUUCGGAUCGUAAAGCUCUGUUGUUAGGGAAGAACAAGUGCCGUUCAAAUAGGGCGGCACCUUGACGGUACCUAACCAGAAAGCCACGGCUAACUACGUGCCAGCAGCCGCGGUAAUACGUAGGUGGCAAGCGUUGUCCGGAAUUAUUGGGCGUAAAGGGCUCGCAGGCGGUUUCUUAAGUCUGAUGUGAAAGCCCCCGGCUCAACCGGGGAGGGUCAUUGGAAACUGGGGAACUUGAGUGCAGAAGAGGAGAGUGGAAUUCCACGUGUAGCGGUGAAAUGCGUAGAGAUGUGGAGGAACACCAGUGGCGAAGGCGACUCUCUGGUCUGUAACUGACGCUGAGGAGCGAAAGCGUGGGGAGCGAACAGGAUUAGAUACCCUGGUAGUCCACGCCGUAAACGAUGAGUGCUAAGUGUUAGGGGGUUUCCGCCCCUUAGUGCUGCAGCUAACGCAUUAAGCACUCCGCCUGGGGAGUACGGUCGCAAGACUGAAACUCAAAGGAAUUGACGGGGGCCCGCACAAGCGGUGGAGCAUGUGGUUUAAUUCGAAGCAACGCGAAGAACCUUACCAGGUCUUGACAUCCUCUGACAUCCUAGAGAUAGGACGUCCCCUUCGGGGGCAAAGUGACAGUGGGUGCAUGGUG
rnacentral:rRNA from 1 species